AAUGAACGCUGGCGGCGUGCCUAACACAUGCAAGUCGAGCGAGAAAGCUCCUUCGGGAGUAAGUACAGCGGCGGACGGGUGAGUAACACGUGAGAAUCUACCCUUUAGUGAAGAAUACCCUUGAGAAAUCAAGGUUAAUGCUGCAUAUGUCCCUUCGGGGAGAAAGAUGGCCUCUUUGCUGUCGCUAAAGGAUGAGCUUGCGGACUAUUAGCUAGUUGGUGAGGUAAUGGCUCACCAAGGCGAUGAUGGAUAGCCGGCCUGAGAGGGUGUACGGCCACACUGGAACUUAGACACGGUCCAGACUCCUACGGGAGGCAGCAGUGAGGAAUAUUGCGCAAUGGGCGAAAGCCUGACGCAGCGACGCCGCGUGGAGGAUGAAGGUCUUCGGAUUGUAAACUCCUGUUAAGUGGGAAGAAAGGCUCGCUUUUAAUAGAAGCGAGAGAUGACGGUACCAUUAGAGAAAGCACCGGCUAACUUCGUGCCAGCCGCCGCCGUAAAAC
rnacentral:rRNA from 1 species